CAAUAGCGUAUACUAAAGUUAGUUGCAGUUAAAAAGACUCGUAGUUGAAUUUCUGGUCGUGAAACGUGGUCCGUUCCGCAAGGAAUGUGUACUGUCGAUUCAUGUCCAUCCUCGGAGUUAGUGUGUAUUACUUUAAUCGGUCGUGCACAUGUCCUCCGUCAUUUACUGUGAGCAAAAUAGAGUGUUCAAAGCAGGCUUAUGCCGUUGAAUAUAUUAGCAUGGAAUAAUAAGAUAUGACUUUGGUUCUAUUUUGUUUGGUUUGCACUCCAAAGUAAUGAUUAAUAGGGAUAGUUGGGGGUAGUUCGUAUUCAAGUGUCAGAGGUGAAAUUACUUGGAUUUC
rnacentral:rRNA from 1 species